UGGGGUUAGAGUUCUGGAGCCACUAACCAAAUUAAAACACAAAUCUAAAGUUUAUCUAGGAAAUAUAAUUAAGCUCACACGACAACCCCAACAACAGGAUCUUUAUCAGGUUAAGUAUGUCACAGGUUUACAACUUAUAACAGAAACAUAACAAGAUGUGGGACAAUCUCUACAUGAGAUUACACCAUAUCCCUCAAAACCAACCUACAGAAAUAUCUAGAUAAAGCCAGAAACCUAGUUUAGAUAUGACUCCAUCUGCCUGAAACUACUUGAGAGCUACUGAGCCAGAACGAAGAGCUAGAGGAACGUCCUGGGCUAAUCCUACGGCAAGAAGGGCGAUUGUGAUAUAUCUGAAAAGGGUUAGUAAUAAACAAAACAAGGGUGAGCUCAGGAAUGCUCAGCAAGUGCUAGAAUAUUCAAAUGUACGAUAAACAGUAAGAAAAUUGAGAUGUAAACAAAUCAGUAAGUAAAGCUGUAUAGUAAAACGAGUAUGGAAGCAGCAUAGUAAAACGUAACAGUUCAAAAAUAGUUUAAAAUCAACUACUAUCUGCUUUUCAAAUCAAGUUGAAGCCUCUGCUUCUAAAUCAAAAGCUUUUCAAAUCAAUUUGGAAGUAACCCUUCCUCUAAAAGCUUUUCAAUUCAAAUAGGAAGUCCCCCUUCCUUUAAAACCAAAAUCUCGAACCUGUUUACAUGUUGGAUUUAGAUAAGACGCAAUGGUCUGCGAAAGAUGAUCAGUCCUUCACAGGCCCCAACAAUACCUAAACACAUUAGAUAAUGUUGAACAAUAAUAUCCAUGGAUUCACAUAUACAACCAGAUCUGUUAAAACUUGGGACUGGCGCCUCAGCCACUUAUUAACCGUACCAAAUGCCUUACAAAGUUCGAGUAGUUUCCAGCUUUACAUUUCAAGAAAAAGGUUUAUUCCCUCAGAAGUAUACUUAUAACAUAUAAGCUUGAAAGGAACUAAACCGAGCUGUGAAAAUCAUUUAUAAAUAUUUUGAAACCAUGUGUACCAAUUUGGCAAAUUUAACCUUUCAAAUCAAAACCGUACUUAUAUCAUGCAUUUGAAAUAAGUAAAAGUUUUAAGGAAAGUACACUUGCCUGAGCUGAGCAAAAGACACAAGGUGUGGAAUACUACUACUGUCGGGAACCUACAUAAUUUAAAAGACUAGAUCUCAAUCGAGAGUCUUAUCUUCAAUAACCUCAACUAAUAGACUACCCUUCGUCACAUAAUAGUUUUACAUUAGCACGUAAUACCAAAUUUGAUCACAUAACACGUAAUCCUAAACUAAAGUUUUAAUAAAAUUUUGGCAGCAUUUCCCCUAUACAUAGAUCUCUACCAAAAUAACCAAACACAACAAUCAAGCCAAAAAUUCAAUCUCCAACCAAAAUGUGUCAACCAAACUCCAUUUCCCUUUC
rnacentral:lncRNA from 1 species